rnacentral:rRNA from 1 species
UACGAAGGGGGCUAGCGUUGCUCGGAAUUACUGGGCGUAAAGGGCGCGUAGGCGGCUCUGUUAGUCAGGCGUGAAAGUCCUGGGCUCAACCUGGGAACUGCGCUUGAUACGGCAGGGCUAGAGUACUAAAGAGGGUCGCGGAAUUCCCGGUGUAGAGGUGAAAUUCGUAGAUAUCGGGAGGAACACCGGUGGCGAAGGCGGCGACCUGGGUAGAUACUGACGCUGAGGUGCGAAAGCGUGGGGAGCAAACAGG